rnacentral:rRNA from 1 species
UGAGGAAUUUUGCGCAAUGGGGGAAACCCUGACGCAGCAACGCCGCGUGAGUGAUGAAGGCUUUCGGGUCGUAAAGCUCUGUCAGGUGGGAAGAAUCCGCGAAUGGCCAACACCCGUUCGCGUUGACGGUACCACCGGAGGAAGCACCGGCUAACUCCGUGCCAGCAGCCGCGGUAAUACGGAGGGUGCGAGCGUUAUUCGGAUUUACUGGGCGUAAAGAGCGCGUAGGCGGCCGUCUAAGUCGGAUGUGAAAGCCCGGGGCUCAACCCCGGAAGUGCAUCCGAUACUGGGCGGCUUGAGUAUGGGAGAGGGAAGCGGAAUUCCUGGUGUAGCGGUGAAAUGCGUAGAUAUCAGGAGGAACACCGGUGGCGAAGGCGGCUUCCUGGACCAAUACUGACGCUGAGGCGCGAAGGCGUGGGGGGCAAACAGGAUUAGAUACCCUGGUAGUCCACGCAGUAAACGGUGAUCACUAGGUGUGGCGGGUAUUGACCCCUGCCGUGCCGGGGUUAACGCAUUAAGUGAUCCGCCUGGGGAGUACGACCGCAAGGUUA